UACGUAGGGGGCAAGCGUUGUCCGGAUUUAUUGGGCGUAAAGAGCGUGUAGGCGGUUAUGCAGGUCCGCUGUGAAAACUGGAGGCUUAACCUCCAGACGUCGGUGGAAACCGUAUGACUAGAGUCCGGAAGAGGAGAGUGGAAUUCCUGGUGUAGCGGUGAAAUGCGCAGAUAUCAGGAAGAACACCCGUGGCGAAGGCGGCUCACUGGGGCUUUUCUGACGCUGAGGAACGAAAGCCAGGGUAGCGAACGGG
rnacentral:rRNA from 1 species